GCUUUCGAGGAGCGUUGCAAGGUCCGCCAUGGAUCCCAGGCUCGAAAGACACGACUUUUGCAACGGCGCUCACCCGCA
rnacentral:ncRNA from 2 species